AUUGAACGCUGGCGGCAUGCCUUACACAUGCAAGUCGAACGGCAGCACGGGAGCAAUCCUGGUGGCGAGUGGCGAACGGGUGAGUAAAGUAUCGGAACGUGCCCAGUCGUGGGGGAUAACGUAGCGAAAGGUACGCUAAUACCGCAUACGAUCUAUGGAUGAAAGCGGGGGAUCGCAAGACCUCGCGCGAUUGGAGCGGCCGAUAUCAGAUUAGGUAGUUGGUGGGGUAAAGGCUCACCAAGCCGACGAUCUGUAGAUGGUCUGAGAGGACGGCCGGCCACACUGGGACUGAGACACGGCCCAGACUCCUACGGGAGGCAGCAGUGGGGAAUUUUGGACAAUGGGCGAAAGCCUGAUCCAGCCAUGCCGCGUGCAGGAUGAAGGCCUUCGGGUUGUAAACUGCUUUUGUACGGAACGAAAAGGUUUGGGCUAAUAAGCUGAGCUCAUGACGGUACCGUAAGAAUAAGCACCGGCUAACUACGUGCCAGCCGCCGCCGUAA
rnacentral:rRNA from 1 species